GAACGCUGGCGGUGUGCCUUAAGCAUGCAAGUCGAGCGGGUCCGCAAGGACCAGCGGCAGACGGGUCAGUAACACGUACGAAUCUACCUCAAUGUGGGGAAUAGCUGCCCGAAAGGGCAGGUAAUACCGCAUGUGAUCGCAAGAUCAAAGACGCAAGUCGCAUUGAGAGGAGCGUGCGCGCUAUCAGGUUGUUGGUGGGGUAAUGGCCUACCAAGCCUACGACGGCUAGCCGAUGUGAGAGCAUGAUCGGCGACAAGGUAACUGAGACACGGUGCCUACACCUACGGGUGGCAGCAACUGGGAAUUUUGCGCAAUGGGCGAAAGCCUGACGCAGCGACACCGCGUGUGGGAAUAAGGCCUUAGGGUCGUAAACCACUGUGGCGAGGGAUGAAUUUUGACAGUACCUCGCAAGAAAGCACCUGCUAACCACGUGCCAGAAGCCUCGGUAAUACGUGGGGUGCAAGCGUUAUCCGGAUUUACUGGGCGUAAAGCGUACCGUCGGUGGUCGAGUAAGUUUCUUGUUUAAGCCUGGGGCCUAACUCCAGAAAGGCGAGGAAAACUACUUGACUUGAGUCUGUUCGGGGAAUUUGGAAUUCUCAGUGGAGGGGUGAAAUCCGUAGAUAUUGAGAGGAACACCAUACGCGAAGGCAGAAUUCUAGGGCAUGACUGACACUCAGGGACGACAGCUCGGGAGCAAAAGGGAUUAGAGACCCCUGUAGUCCGAGCCGUAAACAUUCUUUGCUAGCUGGUCCCAUUCUGUGGGGCUGGCGCAAGCUAACGCGUUAAGCAAAGCGCCUGGGGAGUACGACCGCAAGGUUAAAACUCAAAGGAAUUGACGGGGGAGCGCACAACCGGUGGAGCAUGUGGUUUAAUUCGAUACGAAGCGAAAGACCUUACCCAGGUUUGACAUGUAUCUGCACGGCCUAGGAAACUAGGCUUUCUUCGAGAGUGAUACACAGGUGAUGCAUGGCUGUCGUCAGCUCGUGUCGUGAGACGUCCGCUUAAGUGCGGUAACGAGCGCAACCCUUAUCUUCAGUUAUAUUUGUCUGAAGAGACUGCCCUGGUUUCUACCAGGGAGGAAGGAGAGGACGACGUCAAGUCAGCACGUCCCUUACAUCUGGGGCUACACACAUCCUACAAUGGAGCCGACAACAGGAAGCGACAGGGCAACCUUGAGCAAAUCCCUAUAAACGGCCCCUCAGUUCGGAUUGAGGGCUGCAACCCGCCCUCAUGAAGCCGGAAUCGGUAGUAAUCGCAAAUCAGCAGGUUGCGGUGAAUACGUUCUCGCUCCUUGUACACACUGCCCGUCAAGCCAGCAAAGUUGGCAACGCCCGAAGCGGAUGACCGGAACUCGCAAGAGACCGGCUCUUCUACGGCGAGGUCAGCGAUGAGG
rnacentral:rRNA from 1 species